CUUACCACACAUUUUACAAGAUCAGAGUCAGAUGCUUGCCAGUGGUGUUCAGGAUCUGCAAAUCAUUCGCCAUUGUCUUCAGUCAUCUCUCUUACUCCGUUUAUGUGGUAAGUGAAAUUGUAUGUACUGUAAUCAGCUAAACAUGUCCCUUUGGUGGCUCGCGUUAUUUUACCACAACGUGUUAUUUGUUUUCCGUGCCUUUCUGAAUAGAGAUAUAUAUUACUGUAUUUCUAGUAUGGCAAAUGCACUGGGGGAACUGCUGGAGCCCAGAGGGGAGCGUCGACCGUUGGUAAAGAGAAAAACGAUUUUCAUUCAAACAAAUUGAAAUAAACUACACGUUCGAGUUAAUCGAUAAAAUCAAGACUAUUGCGUAAUAGUCUGUUAUGCUUGAAUUGGCCUUUUUUCAAGUGGUCUUUUGCAAACACCAGAUUUAUAUAAGAAGGAGGAAACGAUGGUGUUUGAGACUCAUGGUAUGCCAUGUCCAUGUACUGAACUGUUAUUAUUCAACUAUGCCAAGGUAAAUACAGUUUUCUUCCUAACUGUUUGGAAAUAAUAGGAUGAUUACAUAUUGGUAAUGAUAAUUUGUUAACAAUAGGAAUUUGAAUGAAAUUAUUGGACAAAGCGAUUUUUCCAUUGUCCCAAGUGCCUCAGACCAAAUGCAAAAUGAUACAGAGAAAACUUUGGGAAACCUAGUCAUCCCCUCUCAACCAGGAGCUGGAGAUUUUCUAGCCGCAUACAAGGCUUCUUGCCAUUACAUAGGAACUGUUUGCAUAUCCUGGCAAAUUUUCUGAAAUAUUUUGAAUGGACAGAGACAGGUAGGGAACUUAUAACAUAAUUAAUUUUGGGUAUGGAGUACAUUGACCUUACCCCAGAGAGAAAGAAAAAGUUGGCCCAUGUUGCUGAUUUAAAAUCUUACAUGAGCCUAACAUGAGAUUUGAUUGUAGCCACCACUCACGUUCAUAUUGAUAAAUGCCAAAUCAUUAUAACUAUUGUGUGGAACACAGUUGUUCACAUUUGAUUCCCAUUUUCAUGAAUACUGUGCAUGUGAAAAUGAAUGGUAUGGAAUGAAUGAUCUGUGGUUUAUUGCAUCCAAAUUUGCAUAAUGGCCCUAUAGCAUGUUUGAUUGUACAUGUAUAUACCUUUCAUGAGGAAGAGUUUGUACUGUGAGGAAAUGUCCUCACAGUAAUGGUACAAAUGACUUUCUUUAGAUGCAGUUCACCACCCCAGUGAACUUUUCAGUGGAACUGACCACAGUGUUUCUGUGCAACUGAAACUGUUAGGAAAUAUUUUCCAUGGUAGUGAGGCACACCUACUUCUGUGCUGGUUCACUUCUGCAUCUGUUCUGGGUUAGAUGGAAAAGGAGAAGAUACACAUGAUUUCGCAGCAUUUUACAAUUUUAGAUAGUAUUUAUAUUUUUCUGAGAAAGUGCACUUACUUGGCCAUCCAGUCUUCUCAACGCUACAUAUUUUCAUGUCUUUCUCAUCAAACACACUUCUGAUUUGGUACAUUUGACAAUGCUACAUUUUCUCUAUGGUUUAAACUUCCAGCCACACUGAGACUGUGUAUAUUUUCUAGUGGAAAAUGAGUUUUUUGAGAACACUCUCCAAGAUUUAAAAAAGUGUUGUAGAGCCAAUGUAUUCAAAAACUAUGGAGGCAUUUGAAAACUACAAUGCAUGAUCAUGUGAUCCGGUGACGGUGGGCCACGGUGGUGUUGUACCUGCCACCUACUUUCACAGCACUGUAAAUGUGAAAAGGUUGAGAAAACUUAAUUUUUUUUGAGGUAAUCAGUUCCCUCAGUUUUUAAGUGAAGUUAUGAUGUCUCAAAUUUUAAGCAAACAGAACUGUUAGUUAUUGAGUUGCAUGUUACUUACUCUUAACUUGAAAUACUGAGUAACUGAACUAAAAGUUAAUUGCUAUCAAAAUGUACAAGUUAAUUAUCUUUUUUAAUUGUUGCAACGUAAAUUAGUCAAUUUUUUAUUUACAUUACAUCUGUACAUGUAAAAUGAUUUUGGUUAUUAAUUUGAGAACACUGACAACCCAACAGCCAACUUAAUUUAGAUUAAAUUUAGAUUAGCUCAUUGGAUAGAUGAAGAAACCUUGAUUGAAAGGGUCUCACACCUUUGAUGUCCUGGCAGGGGCUCUUGAUAAAAAUCAUCAUCAGUAUAGAAUAAGAGGAAAAGUGGUAAGAACCACAACUGACAGUGGCUCAAACUUCAUCAAAGCAUUAAGUGUGUUUGGUGAGCAAAGCCAGUGUUACGUGAAGAGUGAAGGACCCAGAGGCGAAGGCCGGGAAAAGCAAACAGAAGUCUUUAUUCGUUCUUGGCAAUGACAGUAAUAAUAUUAACACAAGCUGUCAGCCCUCUACUUCCAUUUCAGUAGCGCAGAACAGGAAAAUACAGGAACGAAAAGUCACAGAAUCAGCAGGAGCGCGCAGACUCCGGCAGCGCAGCAAGGGGGGAUUCCUCAGCAGGUACGAGUGAGCCAGCGGUGGGCGUCCCGGGAAGGGUGAGUCGCCGAAGGUGCAAAACAGGAUGACUGGGCAGACAAAGAAGACUCUAGACAGUAACUUGCAAUUCAACAGGACCGGACAAUAAACACAACAGGACUAGACUUGACUUGACACGACUAAAGUUAUCUUGCAACAGGUUAGAGGAUCUCAGAGAGACGGCGUUCAGACAUAGUGAGUAGUAAUCUGGCAGUAAAGCCCAGAAACAAACAGGUAGAAAUAGAGAGGGUAAUCAGGGCAUAGUGGGGAUCAGGUGCCGUAGCAAUCAGCGCGAACCCAGAUUGUGAUAGCAGACAGCUGGGGGAGAGAGAAGGAGAGAGAGAGAGAGAUGACAUAGAAAGAAGAGGCUAGAUGACGAGAGUCAAACCCGGCUCGUAACAGCCAGACUGAGGAAACAGAGUCCGAAUCAGAUCAAGACUCUUCUGAAGACCCAAAAGCUGUCUACGUGAACACUUUAAGCAUCCUGGAACAAGAUAGCGGUCUUGAGUACCAGCUUCCGUGGCAUCAAAGGUGUGCAUGCCACCAGUUGAAUUGAGCCAUGGCAGAAAAGAACAAUGAUACAUACAAACGGCUGUCACGUGCAGCCUUUGUGAAAUGUCAAGCAAUGUGAAACAAAUCCGGACGGUCAUACAUGGCAGCGGAAAUUGUUAAAGAUCAAUGCAAGCUCCAGCUCAUUUGUUCAAAUCAGACUAGGUAGAACUCUACAUACAUGGCUGUGGACAGAAUCAUCUGGAUCAUACAAGAGAAGGGAGAGGAUGCUAUCAGAAAUGUCUGUGAAGAAUUAAAAGUAAAAAUCUGAAAUAGUUUUCCUGACUGAGUAUUGCCCUGUGAUCAAACCUUUGGUGACGGCUUUGAACAUUCUUCAGUCUGAGACCAACAUGCACUUGGGGUGGCUCCCGCCAGUGGUCUUUCAGUUUCAAGCCAAACUAAGCAGACUGGAGACAACUUCCAAGAUGUUCAUCAGAGUAGUUCAGGAUGGUAUUGAAAAGUGCUGCAGCAAUCCUUCUGCCAAAGUUCAAGACCACCUGGACUGAGAGGGCUGAUAUCAUAGAAGCAGUCUUUUUUCCAGAGCAAGCCAUUAAAACAAUUCAAGAAGGUCUUAAGCUACUUGAAAGUUGGGACAACAAAAACACAGACGUAGUUCAAAUGUGGCGUGGAUAGAAAGACAAUCAUGGAGACUGCUGCAAUUGCAGAGUUUGAAGCAUGUGACAUCGAGGCCUACAAAAAUUUGCGUGGCACCUUCCAAAGAGGACAGAAACAGUCUUAUUUUGCAGAGCGGUGCAGAGAAAAUAACCUGUAGAACCUGUGUUUCUUUGUAUGAUAAAUACCGUUCCACAUGUUCUAGCCCAGUGGCUUUACACACGUCCACUUGAACUUUUCUUGUUCCAUACCUCUUGUUUUAAUUCAGCCAUCAUAAAUAUGGCCAUG